GGGUCAGUAGGUUGGUCGUGCCACCGGUACGUACUGGUCUCACUGAUUCCUCCUUCCUGAAGAACCGUAAUGCCAUUAAUUUGGUGUUGCGGGGAAACAGGACUGUUACUUUGAAAAAAUUAGAGUGUUUAAAGCAAGCUAAUGCUUGAAUACAUUAGCAUAGAAUAAUGAAAUAGGACGAUCGAUCCUAUUUUGUUGGUUUCUGGGAUUGACGUA
rnacentral:rRNA from 1 species